UACGUAGGGUGCAAGCGUUGUCCGGAAUUAUUGGGCGUAAAGAGCUCGUAGGCGGUCUGUCGCGUCUGCUGUGAAAACUCAGGGCUUAACCCUGAGCUUGCAGUGGGUACGAGCAGACUAGAGUGCGGUAGGGGAGACUGGAAUUCCUGGUGUAGCGGUGAAAUGCGCAGAUAUCAGGAGGAACACCGGUGGCGAAGGCGGGUCUCUGGGCCGUAACUGACGCUGAGGAGCGAAAGCAUGGGGAGCGAACAGG
rnacentral:rRNA from 1 species